AGAGUUUGAUCCUGGCUCAGGACGAACGCUGGCGGCGCGCCUAACACAUGCAAGUCGAACGAGCGAGAGAGAGCUUGCUUUCUCGAGCGAGUGGCGAACGGGUGAGUAACGCGUGAGGAACCUGCCUCAAAGAGGGGGACAACAGUUGGAAACGACUGCUAAUACCGCAUAAGCCCACGGGUCGGCAUCGACCAGAGGGAAAAGGAGCAAUCCGCUUUGAGAUGGCCUCGCGUCCGAUUAGCUAGUUGGUGAGGUAAUGGCCCACCAAGGCGACGAUCGGUAGCCGGACUGAGAGGUUGAACGGCCACAUUGGGACUGAGACACGGCCCAGACUCCUACGGGAGGCAGCAGUGGGGAAUAUUGCACAAUGGGGGAAACCCUGAUGCAGCGACGCCGCGUGGAGGAAGAAGGUCUUCGGAUUGUAAACUCCUGUUGUUGGGGAAGAUAAUGACGGUACCCAACAAGGAAGUGACGGCUAACUACGUGCCAGCAGCCGCGGUAAAACGUAGGUCACAAGCGUUGUCCGGAAUUACUGGGUGUAAAGGGAGCGCAGGCGGGAAGACAAGUUGGAAGUGAAAUCUAUGGGCUCAACCCAUAAACUGCUUUCAAAACUGUUUUUCUUGAGUAGUGCAGAGGUAGGCGGAAUUCCCGGUGUAGCGGUGGAAUGCGUAGAUAUCGGGAGGAACACCAGUGGCGAAGGCGGCCUACUGGGCACCAACUGACGCUGAGGCUCGAAAGUGUGGGUAGCAAACAGGAUUAGAUACCCUGGUAGUCCACACCGUAAACGAUGAUUACUAGGUGUUGGAGGAUUGACCCCUUCAGUGCCGCAGUUAACACAAUAAGUAAUCCACCUGGGGAGUACGACCGCAAGGUUGAAACUCAAAGGAAUUGACGGGGGCCCGCACAAGCAGUGGAGUAUGUGGUUUAAUUCGACGCAACGCGAAGAACCUUACCAAGUCUUGACAUCCCUUGACAGACAUAGAAAUAUGUAAUCUCUUCGGAGCAAGGAGACAGGUGGUGCAUGGUUGUCGUCAGCUCGUGUCGUGAGAUGUUGGGUUAAGUCCCGCAACGAGCGCAACCCUUAUGGUCAGUUACUACGCAAGAGGACUCUGGCCAGACUGCCGUUGACAAAACGGAGGAAGGUGGGGAUGACGUCAAAUCAUCAUGCCCUUUAUGACUUGGGCUACACACGUACUACAAUGGCGUUAAACAAAGAGAAGCAAGACCGCGAGGUGGAGCAAAACUCAGAAACAACGUCCC
rnacentral:rRNA from 1 species